AUGCGCUGCUGCUCCAGCCUCCAACACGCAGAUCCUCUCCCCUCCUGGCCUUGAAAUAAACCUGCCUUUCUUUUCAAUAAUAUCUGGGAGUUGUAGUCGGAGCGCUGUGCUUUAUUGUUGGAAUACCAGGGACGUUGGCUUUCGGUAGCAACAGUUGCUAGGCAAGGUGCGAUUGCCUUGAGAACCCAGCAGAGAGAGGACGGAGGUGAACGGCAAAAGGGUCAGGUGGGAGACAGGCAGAUGAGGCUGGCGCAGGGGCUGGGGUGAAGUGUGUGAGGGAGCCCCUGGCCGCUGCUCACCUGCCCUGCCACUGUGUUCUCCUCUCAGCAGCCUGUCUUUCCAACAUCCACUCCUGCCUCCUCUCUCCCAAGACCCAGUCCAUCUCAUUCCCACACAGCCACUCAUGGACUCAUUUGCUACCUUUUUCAGAUGUCUCCAACCUGCCAUGGGCUGGGGGUACAGAGAGAAAUUGGUGAUGGGGUCUGCCUCCCGUGGGAGAGGCAGAUACCACAGUCGCAAACCCACUGUGUGCCUGGCGCCCUUGCGGUCAUCCCAGAUUUUUGCCCACAUCCCUCUGUUCCACCCAGAGGCCACCUGCAUGCAGGCAUGGUGGAUGGUUGCUGUGUGCAGUGAUGGCCUCCUGGGACCUCUUGCUGGCCACGGAGUUAACCAGGAGGGACCAUCAACCUCGGAAGGCCCAGCUCCAUGAUGAUGCCUCUCUCCAGAGACCUCCUGACCUCCUGACCUGCACAGCCCGGGAGACCACAGCCCACAGCCGCUGCCCCAGGUGUCCACAAGCAUCUCAGCCCCUCCACAGCCCACGCAUCUCCUCUUUCAUUGGCUCAUGGGGAGUGAAGGACAAUGUCUGAAUUAAAUGCCGUGCUUUAAACUGAAAGGGAAACUUAGCAAAUAAAUGAGAGUAACAACACUAGAUCAUUGGCCAGUGUGGUUGCAAUUCUUCCUUUCCCUCCAGAUUUCUGUUUAACCUUUAAAUCUCAUUUCGGCAUGCCUCUUGGUCCUCCUUGGAUUGAUAUUAAGUUGUACACAGGCUACUUCUUGUAAGACGAUGAGAACUCUUGCCGAUAUUUUACAACGUCUUACUCUGAACUUUCCCCUAUUCUUUCUGCCUAGAUGCAUUAUUUUCAGGAAAUCUAUGUUGUAAGACAGAGGUAGGCAAACCAGGGUUGCGGGCCAAGUCCUUCCCACAGCCUGUUUUUGUAAAUAAAGUUUUAUUGGAAUGCAGCCAAGCUUGUUCAUUUACACAUCAUCUAUGGCUGCUUCUGUCCUGCCAUAGCACUGUUGAGUAGUUGCGACAGAGACCACGUGACCUGCAAAGCCCAAAAUAUUUACUAUCUGACCCAUUACAGAAAACGUUGCCAAUAUCCUGUCGUAAGAUAUGCUGAAAUGUUUAAUUCUUUGAGGACUGGGGCACAAAAUUAUGUAUUUUUUUAAUCCACCAUGCUAAAAGAAGGAAAAUUCAUUUACUGUAAUAUGUCCUG
rnacentral:lncRNA from 1 species